UGGCUCAGGAUGAACGCUAGCGGCGCGCUUAAUGCAUGCAAGUCGAGCGAUGAGGUCUCCUUCGGGGGACACAUCAGCGGCAGACGGGUGAGUAACACGUAGGUAACCUACCCCAGAGACAGGGAUAACCCUAGGAAACGAGGGCUAAUACCGGAUGACCUCCGGAAGGAGGAAAGGCUCAGGCGCUCUGGGAGGGGCUUGCGGCCCAUCAGCUAGUUGGUAGGGUAAAGGCCUACCAAGGCGAAGACGGGUAGGGGGUGUGAGAGCACGGCCCCCCACAAUGGGACUGAAACACGGCCCAUACUCCUAUGGGAGGCAGCAGCAGGGAAUAUUGCACAAUAGGCGAAAGCCUGAUGCAGCGACGCCGCGUGAGUGAAGAAGGCCUUCGGGUCGUAAAGCUCUUUUGUAGGGGAAGAGGAAGGACGGUACCCUAAGAAGAAGCGUCGGCUAACUACGUGCCAGCAGCCGCGGUAAGACGUAGGACGCGAGCGUUAUCCGGAAUUACUGGGCGUAAAGGGCCAGCAGGCGGCUUGGUAAGUUGUGCGUGAAAGCCUCGUGCUCAACGCGAGGAAGCCGGACAAUACUGUCAAGCUAGAGGGCAUCAGAGGGGAGUGGAAUUCCCGGAGUAGCGGUAAAAUGCGCAGAUAUCGGGAGGAACACCGAUGGCGAAGGCAGCUCCCUGGGAUGCACCUGACGCUAAGAGGCGAAAGCUAGGGGAGCGAACAGGAUUAGAGACCCUGGUAGUCCUAGCUGUAAACGCUGGGUGCUAGGUGUGGGACGUAGAAGUUCCGUGCCGGAGCAAAACGCGAUAAGCACCCCGCCUGGGAAUUACGGUCGCAAGGCUAAAAACUCAAACGAAUUGACGGGGCCCCCGCACAAGCAGCGGAGCGUGUGGUCCAAUUCGAUGCCUACACGAAGAACCUUACCUG
rnacentral:rRNA from 1 species